AUUGAACGCUGGCGGCAGGCCUAACACAUGCAAGUCGAACGGUAACAGGAAGCAUCUUGCUGCUUUGCUGACGAGGGGCGGACGGGUGAGUAAUGUCUGGGAAGCUGCCUGAUGGAGGGGGAUAACUACUGGAAACGGUAGCUACUACCGCAUAACGUCUCAAGCCCAAAGAGGGGGACCUUCGUGCCUCUUGCCAUCUGAUGUGCGCAGAUGGGAUUUGCUAGUAGGUGGGGUAACGGCCCACCUAGGCGAAGAUCCCUAGCUGGUCUGAGAGGAUGACCAGCCACACUGGAACUGAGACACGGUCCAGACUCCUACGGGAGGCAGCAGUGGGGAAUAUUGGACAAUGGGCGCAAGCCUGAUGCAGCCAUGCCGCGUGUAUGAAGAAGGCCUUCGGGUUGUAAAGUACGUUCAGCGGGGAGGAAGGGAGUAAAGUUAAAACCUUUGCUCAUUGACGGUACCCGCAGAAGAAGCACCGGCUAACUCCGUG
rnacentral:rRNA from 1 species